rnacentral:rRNA from 1 species
UGCCAGCAGCCGCGGUAAAACGCAGGACGCAAGCGUUAUCCGGAAUUACUGGGCGUAAAGCGCGCGCAGGCGGGUUGACAAGUCAUGCGUGAAAGCUCCCGGCUAAACUGGGAGAGGUCAGAUGAGACUGUCAGUCUGGAGUAGGUCAGAGGCGUGUGGAAUUCCGCGUGUAGUGGUGAAAUGCGUAGAGAUGCGGAGGAACACCAGUGGCGAAGGCGGCACGCUGGGGCCUGACUGACGCUGAGGCGCGAAAGCAUGGGUAGCGAACGGGAUUAGAUA